GAAUGCAGGCGCUUAAGACUUGACAGUGAAAAAGUCCGAACGAACUUGCUGUUUCAGAAAAUUCCAAAGAGGAAGAAAUGCAGAAACUUCAAUCCGUCAUAUUUCUAACAUGCUUGGCUUUUAUCAACUUUCCUCGAGGUUGUAAAGCUCACAAGUGUUUACUUUGGGAAAGACUAAAGUGCCAUGGAGAGUACGCCCGAGCUAGAUUCGCUACACAUACUAAUGGUAAUGCCUUUAUUUGCAGUGCCGCAGAAGAUUACUUGGUAUGCGUAAACAAUAUACUAGCUGACUG